ACAUUCUCAUAUGUUCGUAGGAGAUCUGCGAGGUAAGGGAUUGUUAGCUAAGGUAGUCAAAUGGCUAGUCUGCGAUGCCAAUAGAUUUAACAGGCUGUGAUUCGAUGCUUUGGCGUUAUUCUUGGUUUAUUUCGUAAGGUUUUUCCUGGGAUUUUUGUUGUCAAUUUGGUAUUUGUGAUCGAAUUUGAUGCCAUGUUUCUUUUGGUUGUUCGAGUUCUUAGACAGACGAUUUCUAAUGAUUGAUGUUUUGAGUGUUCUAUGCAAUGCUUGUUUGUUUAAAAGUUUGAUUGAGAUGCCGAUUGGUGGAACGGGUCGUGAUUUGAGGUUUCCAUGAAGUUCUAGAUUCAGUUUGAGGUUCUUGUGGUGUUCUCGACUUGGAUUUGAGAUUUUUGGGAUGAUCUUGCUCGGCUUGUGCCUUCCAUGUUGUUCCUAUUUUGGGUGGUGAUUCUAUCUGGUUUUCUGCAGGGAUUUGGGGUUCCAUGAAUGAGUUUAGAUUUGUUAAGUUUGUCUAGAUGGAUUGUGUUUCUGGAACCAAGAUUUUGGUGGAAUCGGUUAGGUGAUGAUGUUUUGCUUCUGUAUGGGCAGUUUAGAGUUUCGAUCGAUGAUGUUUUCAUUUUCUUCCUGCUUCUGAAUUCGUGGGCAGUGUAUUGUUGGAGUUUUAAUUCUUGAUCGAUGAUGUUCUCGCUGUUCUGUUGCUUCAGAAAUAUUGAAAAGAUUUAGUAGGUGGAGGUUCAAUUUGAUGACGUUCAGUUUCUCCGAAAAACUUUGGGACAGGUUGUAGGUGUUUUUGCGCUUUGAUUGAUACUGCCCUUGCUGUUCUCUAUUGUUUCUAACAUGCUGGACGAAUUCAGAGGUGUGGAUUUCAACUCAAGUUUGUGCUGUAUCAUGUCUUGCAUCACUGUAUUUUUGGUGGAUUUGUGAAUUCGAUGUUGCUUUGUGUUAUGUCCUGCUUUACCGAAUUGUUGAGGGAUUUGUGUGGAUUCAACUCGAUGUGUCUCACUUCUUUGUGUAGCUGUGGAUUUAGUGUAGGGUGAUUGGAGGUUGGUUUAUUGGUAACCUUGUUUUCCCAUGAGCUAAUUGCUGAUAGAUCUAGUAGAUGGGAACAUGAGUUCAAUGUGGUUUCUUUUCCUUGUGAGGGCUUCAAAUUUCCUUUCUUCUGGACAGGUUUGGUGAUGAUUUUGGGAUCUGACACAGUUGUAGAAUUUCUGCUUGUGCCUUUGAUGUAGAUGUUGGUGUUGGUUCUACAUUUUGGGGUGAGGGCAUCACCCAGGAUAUGACGAAAAGCAUGCGGACGGAGUAGGCGAGGAGGCGAGAUGGAGGCAUGGCACUGUCCGAACAUUUAGGAGUGUAGAGUUUACUUGUUCCUUUGUGGGAGGUUCUUUAUUUGUAUAGGGAGAUAUUCUUUGUUCUUAUUUGUUGAACUCUUGUUGGGAUGUUGUUAUUUACAUUGGAUAGGAUAGGAUAGAUCCUUUGGUAAAAGGGCAUUAUAGUUA